rnacentral:rRNA from 1 species
UGAGGAAUAUUGGGCAAUGGGCGCAAGCCUGACCCAGCCACGCCGCGUGUGUGAUGAAGGCCUUCGGGUCGUAAAGCACUGUGGAGAGGGACGAAAACGUGCAGGAGGAAAUGCCUGCGCCUUGACGGUACCUCUUUAGCAAGCACCGGCUAACUCUGUG